AGAGAGUUCAAUAGGACGUGAAACCGUUUGGAUGUAAACGGGUAGAGCCGCGGGAUAGCUGCGGAAAUCAGUCGACCAAUUACGGCUGGUAGAAUUGCACUGUCAAGAGUGAAAUUUUUUUCGCUCUCUUGCGUUCUACCCCGCCCAAGUCGUAUUGGGCGUUGCAUUUUUCGUAGUGUACUGUUGCGAUGGUAGUCAAUAGUCGUACGUGUCGGCGGUGACUUGAAGGCUUUUUUGCGACUUGUCGUAUUAAAAGUGUCUAGGUCGCCGUUUGAUCGAUGGACUUUUGCUACUAGUAUUUUUUUCGACUGGCCAUUAGGUGUUAGUCGUAGCUAGUAGUUUGGUGGUACGGUUUUGGUCGAUCUUUUAGAUAGGCUAUUUACUUAUCACCUUUCUAUUGGUUGCGCCGCUAGUUUUGGUCGAUUGAAAAUCGGCAACAUUUGUAGCGGUCGCCUACCCGACCCGUCUUGAAACACGGACCAAGGAGUUUAAUAUUUGUGCGAGUCUACUAGUGGAAAACUAGAUGGGCGAAAUGAAAGUGAAAUGGGCCGGCUCGCCGGUUCCAGUGAUACGAUCUGUUUAUUUAUAAACGGCGGAGUAUUGUCCUAUCGAUACGGUUCGACCGUACGGUAGAGAUUGAGCACAUAUAUUGAGACCCGAAAGAUGGUGAACUAUGCUUGAGCAGAACGAAGCCAGAGGAAACUCUGGUGGAGGUUCGUAGCAGUUCUGACGUGCAAAUCGAUUGUCAGACUUGAGUAUAGGGGCGAAAGACUAAUCGACC
rnacentral:rRNA from 1 species